rnacentral:rRNA from 1 species
AGUGAACGCUGGCGGUAGGCCUAACACAUGCAAGUCGAACGGCAGCACAGUAAGAGCUUGCUCUUACGGGUGGCGAGUGGCGGACGGGUGAGGAAUACAUCGGAAUCUACUUUUUCGUGGGGGAUAACGUAGGGAAACUUACGCUAAUACCGCAUACGACCUACGGGUGAAAGCAGGGGAUCUUCGGACCUUGCGCGAUUGAAUGAGCCGAUGUCGGAUUAGCUAGUUGGCGGGGUAAAGGCCCACCAAGGCGACGAUCCGUAGCUGGUCUGAGAGGAUGAUCUGCCGCACUGGAACUUAGACACGGUCCAGACUCCUACGGGAGGCAGCAGUGGGGAAUAUUGGACAAUGGGCGCAAGCCUGAUCCAGCCAUACCGCGUGGGUGAAGAAGGCCUUCGGGUUGUAAAGCCCUUUUGUUGGGAAAGAAAAGCAGCAGGUUAAUACCCCGCUGUUCUGACGGUACCCAAAGAAUAAGCACCGGCUAACUUCGUG